UGGGGAAUAUUGCACAAUGGGGGGAACCCUGAUGCAGCCAUGCCGCGUGUGUGAAGAAGGCCUUCGGGUUGUAAAGCACUUUCAGUUGUGAGGAAAGGUUAGUGGUUAAUACCCAUCAGAUGUGACGUUAACAACAGAAGAAGCACCGGCUAACUCCGUGCCAGCAGCCGCGGUAAAACGGAGGGUGCGAGCGUUAAUCGGAAUUACUGGGCGUAAAGCGCACGCAGGCGGUCUGUUAAGCUAGAUGUGAAAGCCCCGAGCUCAACCUGGGAUGGUCAUUUAGAACUGGCAGACUAGAGUCUUGGAGAGGGGAGUGGAAUUUCUAGUGUAGCGGUGAAAUGCGUAGAUAUUAGAAGGAACAUCAGUGGCGAAGGCGACUCCCUGGCCAAAGACUGACGCUCAUGUGCGAAAGUGUGGGUAGCGAACAGGAUUAGAUACCCUGGUAGUCCACACCGUAAACGCUGUCUACUAGCUGUUUGUGAGUUUAACUCGUGAGUAGCGAAGCUAAC
rnacentral:rRNA from 1 species